rnacentral:rRNA from 1 species
AGAGUGAACGCUGGCGGCAGGCCUAACACAUGCAAGUCGAACGGCAGCACAGUAAGAGCUUGCUCUUAUGGGUGGCGAGUGGCGGACGGGUGAGGAAUACAUCGGAAUCUGCCUAUUUGUGGGGGAUAACGUAGGGAAACUUACGCUAAUACCGCAUACGACCUACGGGUGAAAGCGGAGGACCUUCGGGCUUCGCGCAGAUAGAUGAGCCGAUGUCGGAUUAGCUAGUUGGUGGGUAAAGGCCCACCAAGGCGACGAUCCGUAGCUGGUCUGAGAGGAUGAUCAGCCACACUGGAACUGAGACACGGUCCAGACUCCUACGGAGGCAGCAGUGGGGAAUAUUGGACAAUGGGCGCAAGCCUGAUCCAGCCAUGCCGCGUGAGUGAAGAAGGCCCUUGGUUGUAAAGCUCUUUUGUGGGAAGAAAAGCAAUCGGUUAAUACCCGGUUGUUCUGACGGUAACCCAAAGAAUAAGACCAACCGCUAACUUCGUA